GGUCAGUGAUGAGUUGUAAAAGGUCUGAUGGCACUCUGAUUCUCUCACAGCCCAUUCAUCUCCCAGCAGACUCUGUUUUUGCCCCAUAUCACUCUAGUUGUGUUGUAUAUGGCACUGGAGACUGCUGACAUAGUUGGAUACUCGUUAUGCAGUGUUACCUGAAGUAUAAGGUAAUGCAGCUGAAGCGGUAAUCCCACAUACAUUUUUAAGGAGACUGGGGAGUGCAGGUGGAAUCUUUUGCAGUGCAUGAUCAAUUAUGAGUUUUCAAUCUGAGACC